rnacentral:rRNA from 1 species
AUUGAACGCUGGCGGCAGGCUUAACACAUGCAAGUCGAGCGGAGAUGAGGUGCUUGCACCUUAUCUUAGCGGCGGACGGGUGAGUAAUGCUUAGGAAUCUGCCUAUUAGUGGGGGACAACAUUCCGAAAGGAAUGCUAAUACCGCAUACGUCCUACGGGAGAAAGCAGGGGAUCUUCGGACCUUGCGCUAAUAGAUGAGCCUAAGUCGGAUUAGCUAGCUGGUGGGGUAAAGGCCUACCAAGGCGACGAUCUGUAGCGGGUCUGAGAGGAUGAUCCGCCACACUGGGACUGAGACACGGCCCAGACUCCUACGGGAGGCAGCGGUGGGGAAUAUUGGACAAUGGGGGAAACCCUGAUCCAGCCAUGCCGCGUGUGUGAAGAAGGCCUUAUGGUUGUAAAGCACUUUAAGCGAGGAGGAGGCUACUGAGACUAAUACUCUUGGAUAGUGGACGUUACUCGCAGAAUAAGCACCGGCUAACUCUGUGCCAGCCGCCGCAGUAA